rnacentral:lncRNA from 1 species
AUGGUGGGCAAUAGCCAUACUGCCAGGCAACCUUUCCAGGAGACCUGGCUCUGCCGUAUCCUCCUGCACACUGGAAGCGGCACAGAAACUUCAGGGGGUCCCCACCCUGAGAAAAUGCCCCUGGGCGGGAGCAUACCUGAGAGUCAUUCUGUUCUGUUUUGCAGUGCAUUGCUAGAAAGAAAUCACCACCUUGCAUGCAAGAUCAUGUACUUGUUAGUCCCACUUCUUAACCGAGGAAAUGAUAAACAUAAGCUCACAUCUGCAGGCUUUUUUGUGGAGCUCCUUCAGAGUCCCGUGGCCAGAAGACUGCCCAGCAUAUACUCCCUAUCCCGCUUGAAAGACUGGCUGCAUCAUGGAAAUAAUCUCUUUAAAAUGCUUGCCCUGAGGGGGCUGUGCAAUCUUGUCAGACACUGGGAGAUGAGGGAAGACAUCAAGAGACUGUUGCCGUCCAUCUUAGACAGCUUAUGUGAAACUGAUGAAAGGAUUGUUUUGUUGGCCAUCCAGAUACUCCAGAAGCUUGUCAGGAUGAUGGAUUUUACAACCCUGGCUGCCAUGUUGAGGAUCCUGUUCUCUUUAUUUGGUGAUGAGAGCAAGCGAGUCCUAAAAAUAUGUUCCAAAUUCCUGAAGUGGAAGCUGCCCCAAGAAGUAUAUGGCAGAGAUCCCUUCUACAUCAGACCUGUUGAAGUUAGAACAAUCUGCAAAUUCUUUGUAUGUGAGAAAUAAUGGCUUUUAAAAAACUCUCUGACAGGCUGAUUUUUUUUUUUUUUUUCUGAUGUGUCCUUAAUUGAGGAACAUGGGAUACAGGAAACAUUAUCCAACCCUUUUCACACUAGAAUUUGGUGUCUACAAACUUUUUUUUUUAAAUGUAGAUCUAUUCUCCUGUAGUUCCCUCCCAAUUGAGUCACAGAUUCACUUUUUGUUACUACCCUUCCUCAUAAAAAAGACUUUUGAACUCCUGGGAACCCACUAACCUGGGUCAGAGGCUAUAAGGCGAGGCUGAUCGAAACUGCUUUAAAAAUUCCUGGUGAGGGCCAGGGAUUUAGCUCAGGAGAGCCACUGCCUGCCUUGCAAGUGCAAGAUCCCUGAGUUUGAUCCCUGGUAACAAAAAAACAAAACAAAAAAAUCCUGGUGAGGUGAAUUGAAGUGGAUUUAUGCAUUGCCUUAACACCUUAUCUCUAGUCCUUUCCUUGGUGUGGCAGAUUACCUUACUUUCCAUCCCGACAUGUUUAAUGAGCUCCAAACACAGGCUGCCAUGCUGUGUGGCCAUGCACGGGGAUGAGUUUGAGCCAGGGCAGCCUCAGGAGGUCCAUCCAUGCUUUUUUUAAGAAACUGACUGUAGAAUCAUGUAGAUCUUAUUAUGAAGUCCCUGGGACUGACUAUUUCCAGGAACCUUCUAUAUGUCUAGCCUGUUUGGGACCCAGAAUGGUGAGAUCUGUCCAGUUUUCUAGGCCUAGAAAGCCUCAGAGUGCCCUAUGUCAGGCUUUCCAUUAGGAAUUAUUUCUCAGACCACCUGCAAGCAAACCUAUAGCUGAUACAUUGAUGACAGUAUUUCCAAUAGGAAAUUCAGUGUUCUCAAUGGGUAAAACUGCAGAUUUCCAUGUUAAACUAUAAGCAUCAUGAGAACAAAUUCCUGUUCUCCCAUCCUAUGUGGGAGGUAUGUGACCUAGUAAGAUAUCCAUUGAGAGGUGCAUUCAUUCACCCAAUAAGCAUAACACAUCCAAUGUAUAAUAUACAUGAAGGAACCCAAGACUUUAGACCUCCAGUUGGGAUCUUGCAAGCUAAUAAGGAAGAUAAAACCUCUGGAAAAUUAAAUAGAAACUUAAAGUGAAAAAUAAGAUGUACCAAGAGAGAAAUACUCAGAGCAAGUUUAGGUCACACAAAUGAGUAGUUAGGGAAGAGCUCAUAGGGAAGAAGAGCUCAAGAUGUAGCUUAGAGAUGAUCAUGAUGGAUCAUGACUGUAAUCACAGCACUCUGGGAGGCUGAAGCAGGAGGAUCUCAUGUUUGAGCCCAGCUGGGGCAAUUUAUCAAGCUCCUAUCUCAAAAUAAAAAAAAUUUAAAGGGCUUGGGAUGUAGCUCAAUGGAAAGGCCCCAAGUUCAAUUUCCAGAAGCUAGGAUAGCUUUGAAAGUAUCACAGAUAAUGAUACAUAGCAUGAGUGGUUAUGGGCAAGGGAUAUUCAGAGGAUUUAUUUUUGUAUAGGAACUUAUUGGUUGUGGCAUAAUAUUCAUUGGUAGUGUUCAGUGUAGCUACUUCAAGCACUACAAUACUUGGUAUCUGAUGUACUCCCUAACCCUGGAAACUAUAGUUAGGCUGAUCAGAACAAUGCUGGUACUUCACUGCUUUGUACUCUUAUUCUUUCCCCACUUAGGGAAAAAAAUGCAAGGGUAAAAUUGACAUCCUUGCCCAAACAUUGAUGUACUCCAAGAAUGCAAAACUUUCCAUCAGAAGAACAGCAGUCUUAUUUGUAGGUACAAAGAAAAUCCUUUUAUCUCUACAUUUUUAUCCUGUACUUUCCCAAGUCCUUUUCUUGAGUAACCCUAUCCUUUAUGAAGCUGUCCCUGAAAACACUUCUAGGAAAAAUGGGCUAUGUUAUCAAUAGGUAACUAUCAUGCACUCUGAAGUCAUUUUUUGAAUCUGCCUAAUUUUCAAAGGGCCAAUUUUACCAGCUGCUUAGACUUUUUAAAGAUUAAAAACAGGUUUUAGUUUCCAAGAGAAGCAAGAUCACAUAUUCACUGACUUCAUCCUGUAUUUAGGGCUCUUAUCAAAGUACAUGGAUCACAGUGAGGCCAGGAUGAAGGGGACUGACUGGAUACAAAAUGGUAAGUGACAGUACCCCUUGGAUUUGCAGUGUAUCCACAUUUUGGACACUACCUGAGGCAGUGACUAUGGGCAGACCCUGUAGCAGAGUUGAAACUCAAAAUCACUGGUGACUUCAGCUAAAUGACAAUCUCAUCCCAGUUGAGUGUCCUCCUUAGGAAAGGUCAUGACUUUAUUUUUCUGAAAUCAGCUUUAAUGAAUGUCUUCAGAACAGCUCCUAAACGUUUCUGUCAGGAAAUAAGUCAUUUACUGAACCCCGCUGAAUCUCCAGCUCUUUUUCUUAAUUUUAUUUUUGUGACAAGGUUUCCUUAAAUCACUGAAUUGCUAUGCAGGGCUCAAACUCAAAAUUCUCUUGCCUUAUCCUCCCAGAGUGCUGGGAUUAUAAGCAUACGCCACCACAUGUAGGGGUAAACUGAAAAUACCUCACAAGUACCACAGUGAUGGCUGCAGCCCA